rnacentral:rRNA from 1 species
UACGGAGGGUGCAAGCGUUAUCCGGAUUUACUGGGUUUAAAGGGUGCGUAGGCGGGCCCUUAAGUCAGUGGUGAAAGCUCCGAGCUUAACUCGGAAACUGCCAUUGAUACUAUUGGUCUUGAAUUCGGUCGAGGUUGGCGGAAUGUGUCGUGUAGCGGUGAAAUGCUUAGAUAUGACACAGAACACCGAUUGCGAAGGCAGCUAGCUAGACCGACAUUGACGCUGAGGCACGAAAGCGUGGGGAGCAAACAGG